rnacentral:rRNA from 1 species
CCUACGGGAGGCAGCAGUGAGGAAUAUUGGUCAACGGGCGGAAGCCUGAACCAGCCAAGUAGCGUGCAGGAUGACGGCCCUACGGGUUGUAAACUGCUUUUAUACGGGAAUAACGCGCCUUACGUGUAGGGCUUUGCAUGUACCGUAUGAAUAAGGACCGGCUAAUUCCGUGCCAGCAGCCGCGGUAAUACGGAAGGUCCGGGCGUUAUCCGGAUUUAUUGGGUUUAAAGGGAGCGUAGGCCGCAUGUCAAGCGUGCUGUGAAAUGUCCGGGCUCAACCCGGGCCUUGCAGCGCGAACUGGCGUGCUUGAGUCCGCGGAAAGCAGGCGGAAUUCGUCGUGUAGCGGUGAAAUGCUUAGAUAUGACGAAGAACCCCGAUUGCGAAGGCAGCCUGCUGGACUGAAACUGACGUUGAGGCUCGAAAGCGUGGGGAGCAAACAGGAUUAGAUACCCGUGUAGUC